AGCCCGUGCUGGUAGGGCCGCCAGACUUUGAAUCAGAACUAGCGACGUAGGUUCGACUCCUACCCGGG
rnacentral:tRNA from 1 species